ACCAUCAAGCUUCAGCUGGAAGUCAUCUUCAUUCUUUCCCUGAGCUCCACAGAUUCUAUAAAGCAUCUCAUUAAUCUCAUCUUUGGUGUAGAUUUCUGGUACCAGCUUGCUCUGUGUGAAUGAUCUUUCAUGUUCUGGAAGACAUAUGUAGUUGUGCUCAUCCUUUCAGGCUCUUUCCAAAAGAUUUAUGAUAUCAUCCUUGCACACAUGGAUGAUGUGUCCAUCUACACUUUGUGCAUGUCCAUGUUCAUCUCUGUAGACUCCAUACUCAUCUUUUUGUUCCCAGUGGAAUCUCCUUACUCCAGCACGGUCGUAUGCUCUUUUUCCAAACUCUGGGUGUUUGUCGAUCGAUGUUGGGACAUCAAUGUUGAUCGACGGUCAAGUAUGCUGUCGAUACUUUGGCUUGAUAUGAUCAUCUACUCCACCAGCUGUGUUGUAGGAUUUGUUUGUAACUCUCCUCUGGUGCUCUGGGGUGUUGCGUUGUUGCACGAAAAGAUUCUCUGCUCCAUUAGCCAUCUCAAGAAUGUCUGCAAUGUCCUCUCUGGAUACUUGCAGUGCAUGUCCAUCUAUUGCUCUUGCAUAUAAUUCUUAGGUAUGAAUUGAGCUAUAACACUUCCAACUAAUGUACUAUGUUUUGCUUCAGCUUUUUGUCGUUCUAUAUCAUUUAGCGCGGAGGUGACAGUGAAAAUAGCUAUGGCGAUCCCUAGACCGAUGAGAUGGGUUUCCUUUUUGGUGAAUCGGGAGACCUUUGCGUCACAGUUGCAUCUAGGGUAAUUCUUGAAUGUCAGAUGCGGAUUAAGACUUAGCUUUUGAUUUUCCCCAUUUAUUUUUGACAUAUUUUUCAGGAAAUAACCUGGAGAUCUCAGUGGCGGCUGUCUACGAUGAGUAUCACAGGGAAAAAACGUGGAAGAGGUGCACUUUCUCCUAUUUUGUACCGGCUGUGGAUGUACCUACUUUUCUGAUCACAGAUGCCUAUAAUUUUCUGGUUGCCAAUCCAGAGGAAUAUAACCAAUGAGAAGUGAUGAGCUCCUGCUGUUACGAGUUAAAAGGAGUUGGUUAGGAUCCGAGCGGGGCGUUUACAAGGUGAAAUAUUUUUUCUCCGCGCCAAGAUCCAUACUAUGAUGUUUUAGCAGUAAUUGACAGUUUAAAAGGCUAGAGUUUCCGUUCACUAGGAAAUCAUGAAGGAAUGGUUGGAGAAACGGGUCGAGCGAGUACCUAUUGGUGGGGAACGAGGGUUAUACAUGGGUUUUUUCUCCUGUAGUUGGUUAAGGGCUACCCACGCCCACUCAUUCGGCCUAUGGGCCCAUUCAAUCCGACGGACGGUGCGUUAGUUUUUCAAAAGCUCAAUAAUCAUGUAUACAGAUCAUGCAAUUAACACAUGGCAUUUCUUCGUGCUGGCCUCACUCGCAUGAUAUAGCUCACCCAUUUUUUCACUACUUUAGAUCAAGCACUGUUAGCCCUAGAAUUUUGAAUGGAUGUGUGACUGAAAAUGUAAGUGCACAUUAGUGAAAUAUAUAGUCAAAUCAAUUCUUCUAAACUUUCCACUCACAUGAAUUACAUAGCAGCUUGGCUAUUAAAUGUGCUGGUUGUAAAUAGUUGGGUAAUAAAAUAUGAUUCUCUUAUUUGGAUACUACCAUACGGUAUCAUUCGAAUAAAUUAUAUGACUCGAGACUCUCUUUGUGUGUGUUCAGAGCUGUAGAUAAUCAUUUACAGAUUUCGUCAAUCUCUGAGACUCAGGCGAGUCAUCCUCUCUUUGCCGAUUCCGCUAGCCAAUCUGCUUCACCUCGCUAUUCUCUCACCGAUUCUCCAAAGGCCAGGCUAAAUUCAAAUUCUGGGAAAACAUUUUCUUCCUAUUUCUCAUUUGGUGUUCGUCAAUAUGGAAAUGAGAAUGAGGAGGAGGAGUCUGAAUCAUGUCCUCCCAAACAUGGAAAUGGGAAAAACAAAGCUGCUACAAUGAUCUCGAGUGGACAAGACAAGGACAGUGAGUUACAUGUUUCUGCCAAAGUAGAAGGCGAUUACGAUGAAGGGGUGAAGCAGAUAGCAGAGUUAUAUAGGUGACUUGUUUGAGUUCUUGCACGCGUGUCUUCCAAACAUCGUAAGAGGUUGCAAAUGGAUCUUGUUAUAUAGGUGAAAAAAAAAGAAUGAAUUCUUAUUAGAUAUUUUGAGACUUGUUUGUUUUGGUUUUAACUUUUAAUUGGUUUGAAGCGCUGUACGUUGAAACAUGGUAUAUCAUCGUACGCUUCUGCGUAGAAGUGCAGACCUUCCUGGUCCUUGUUUAUUGGUUUGUUUGCUUCCCUCUUUGAUACAUUUUGAAGAAGAAAGUUUUGAUGAAUGAGAGAUAUCUUACUUUUGUGACGA